rnacentral:lncRNA from 1 species
UCUUCCUCUUGUUUCCUAGCUUCUUGCCCAACUGUGACAUGCAUUUACAAUACAUUUAGUUUUGUAUCAAGGGCUAUAAUCUACGUGCCAAUUAUAAUAUAGGGAACUUUAAUUGAUUCAACUCUCCCGUUCCCUAAAUCUUUUCUUUUCUUUCUUUUUUUCUUUUUCUAUUAAUUAACUCAUCAUUUAUGUAUACUAGAGAUUCCCUUGCAUGAGUACAAGGUCCCUUAGCUUAAUCUGGGCUUAAUAUCCUAUUAUGGCAUGAAAUCCCUUAUUUUCCACCCGGAUGAACAGUAACUCGGACCGACAGCCGGUUACUUCAUCCCGGGUUUGAUCCACUUUCCAGACUCCAAAUUUGAUGAAAUUUUUACCUAACAUUCUACACUCAUAGGGAAUU